UACAGAGGUCUCAAGCGUUGUUCGGAUUCAUUGGGCGUAAAGGGUGCGUAGGCGGCGUGGUAAGUCGGGUGUGAAAUCUCGGAGCUUAACUCCGAAACUGCAUUCGAUACUGCCGUGCUUGAGGACUGGAGAGGAGACUGGAAUUUACGGUGUAGCGGUGAAAUGCGCAGAUAUCGGGAGGAACACCAGUAGCGAAGGCGGCACUCUGGGCCGGUACUGACGCUGAGGAGCGAAAGCGUGGGGAGCGAACAGG
rnacentral:rRNA from 1 species